rnacentral:rRNA from 1 species
AUGGAAUUGAGUUUUCCUCAUACGCUUCAUCUUUUUAAUAUCUUUCAUGAGUAUGAUGGAAAGGAAAAUUGUGCCAAAGUGUUAGAAGAAGAAUGCAUUAAAAUGUUUGGCACUAAAUCUUUGAAUGAUGAGCGUGAUUGCAAUGUUGUUAGUAUGAACUCUUUGAAUAUCCAUAGUACUAAUGAUGAUUGCACUAAUCAUGAUGAAAAUAUCUCUUAUAAGCAUGUCGAUUUUUGUGGAGUGCAUAGAGUUUGUAAAUACAUACCAAAAAGGGAAGAUAGAUUUUGUAAGAGGCAUAUGUACUUAGAAACUAAAUGGUUGCAAGAAAGGCUAGAUGUUUGUGCUGAAAAUUUAAAUUUUCUUAGCCGUACUUGUGAACUUUGCAAUGAACGUGGUCAUUUAACUAUCCCAUGCAAAUUGUUUCAAGAUCUAAUCGAUUCCAAAAAUUGUGAUGACUUGAUUUCCCUUGCACAUCAUAAUGAACUUAGUUUGCUUAUGGGUUAUGAAGAAAUGAAAUGUAUAACAAACUAUCUUCCAGUAUUUGCCCGUGAUAAACUUCUUAAUUUUGAUCUAGAGGAAAUUUAUAUGUAUUGUGCGGUGAAUUGCAUUGAAAAUCCUUAUAUUGCCAAUUACAUAAAGACAAGAAAACAAAUAGAAGAUGAAGAGAAUACUAAUGGAAGGGAAGAGGCUUCCCAAUAUCCUCCUAUUAUUUCUUAUGAUGAAUCAGGUAACGAGGAGGAGCCUUCUAUUCAACCAAUCUAA